rnacentral:rRNA from 1 species
AAGCUCGUAGUUGAAUUUCGGAUAAUAAAAAUUUAAUAUCCAUCCUUAAAAUGUGAUUUAAUUUUUAUUUCCUUCCUUUUGAAUACACUCCCUAAACUUUUUUAGGGAAUCAAGUGUUUCAAAUCGUUUACUGUGAAGAAAUUAGAGUGUUCAAAGCAGGCGUAACCUAGCCUUUGAAUAUAUUAGCAUGGGAUAAUGAAAUAGGACUUUAGUCCUACUUUCGUUGGUUUCUAGGGCUAAAGUAAUGAUUAAUAGGGAUAGUUGGG